CAGCCGCCGCGGGAAUACGAAGGGUGCAAGCGUUACUCGGAAUUACUGGGCGUAAAGCGUGCGUAGGUGGUGGUUUAAGUCCGUUGUGAAAGCCCUGGGCUCAACCUGGGAAUUGCAGUGGAUACUGGGUCACUAGAGUGUGGUAGAGGAUAGUGGAAUUUCCGGUGUAGCAGUGAAAUGCGUAGAGAUCGGAAGGAACAUCUGUGGCGAAGGCGACUAUCUGGGCCAACACUGACACUGAGGCACGAAAGCGUGGGGAGCAAACAGGAUUAGAUACCCUUGUAGUCCCUGUCUCUUAUAC
rnacentral:rRNA from 1 species